rnacentral:rRNA from 5 species
AAAUUGAAGAGUUUGAUCAUGGCUCAGAUUGAACGCUGGCGGCAGGCCUAACACAUGCAAGUCGAACGGUAACAGGAAGCAGCUUGCUGCUUUGCUGACGAGUGGCGGACGGGUGAGUAAUGUCUGGGAAACUGCCUGAUGGAGGGGGAUAACUACUGGAAACGGUGGCUAAUACCGCAUAACGUCGCAAGACCAAAGAGGGGGACCUUCGGGCCUCUUGCCAUCAGAUGUGCCCAGAUGGGAUUAGCUUGUUGGUGAGGUAACGGCUCACCAAGGCGACGAUCCCUAGCUGGUCUGAGAGGAUGACCAGCCACACUGGAACUGAGACACGGUCCAGACUCCUACGGGAGGCAGCAGUGGGGAAUAUUGCACAAUGGGCGCAAGCCUGAUGCAGCCAUGCCGCGUGUAUGAAGAAGGCCUUCGGGUUGUAAAGUACUUUCAGCGGGGAGGAAG